rnacentral:sRNA from 1 species
UAGCUAUGGAGGCGCUUAUGUCAGUUUC